AGAGUUUGAUCAUGGCUCAGAUUGAACGCUGGCGGCAGGCCUAACACAUGCAAGUCGAGCGGUAACAGGGAGAAGCUUGCUUCUCUGCUGACGAGCGGCGGACGGGUGAGUAAUGUAUGGGGAUCUGCCUGAUGGCGGGGGAUAACUACUGGAAACGGUAGCUAAUACCGCAUAAUGUCUACGGACCAAAGCGGGGGACCUCCGGGCCUCGCGCCAUCAGAUGAACCCAUAUGGGAUUAGCUUGUAGGUGAGGUAACGGCUCACCUAGGCGACGAUCUCUAGCUGGUCUGAGAGGAUGACCAGCCACACUGGAACUGAAACACGGUCCAGACUCCUACGGGAGGCAGCAGUGGGGAAUAUUGCACAAUGGGGGAAACCCUGAUGCAGCCAUGCCGCGUGUAUGAAGAAGGCCUUAGGGUUGUAAAGUACUUUCAGUCGGGAGGAAGGUGGUGAGCUUAAUACGCUCAUCAAUUGACGUUACCGACAGAAGAAGCACCGGCUAACUCCGUGCCAGCCGCCGCGGUAAUUC
rnacentral:rRNA from 1 species